UACGGGGGGAGCAAGCGUUGUUCGGAUUUACUGGGCGUAAAGGGCGCGUAGGCGGCCACUGCAAGUCGGUUGUGAAAUCUCCGGGCUUAACCCGGAAAGGUCAACCGAUACUGCAGGGCUAGAGUGCAGAAGGGGCAACUGGAAUUCUCGGUGUAGCGGUGAAAUGCGUAGAUAUCGAGAGGAACACCUGCGGCGAAGGCGGGUUGCUGGGCUGACACUGACGCUGAUGCGCGAAAGCUAGGGGAGCAAACGGG
rnacentral:rRNA from 1 species